GACGAACGCUGGCGGCGUGCUUAACACAUGCAAGUCAAGGGGGCUCCGCAAGGGGCAACCGGCGAACGGGUGCGUAACACGUGAGCAACCUGCCUUGAAGUGGGGGAUAGCCGGCCCAACGGUCGGGUAAUACCGCAUACGGUCUUCUGGUGGCAUCACCGGGGGAAGAAACGCUUGACGGCUUCAAGAGGGGCUCGCGGCCUAUCAGCUAGUUGGUGCGGUCACGGCGCACCAAGGCGACGACGGGUAGCUGGUCUGAGAGGAUGGCCAGCCACAUUGGGACUGAGAAACGGCCCAGACUCCUACGGGAGGCAGCAGUGGGGAAUCUUGCGCAAUGGCCGAGGGGCUGACGCAGCGACGCCGCGUGGGGGAUGAAGCAUUUCGGUGUGUAAACCCCUGUUGCUCGGGACGAACGACCCUUUUCGAGGGGUGUGACGGUACCGAGUGAGGAAGCACCGGCUAACUCCGUGCCAGCCGCCGCUGUAAAG
rnacentral:rRNA from 1 species